rnacentral:rRNA from 1 species
GAUGAACGCUAGCGGCAGGCUUAACACAUGCAAGUCGAGGGGUAUAGUAGCAAUACUAGAGACCGGCGCACGGGUGCGUAACGCGUAUGCAAUCUACCUUUUGCAGAGGGAUAGCCCAGAGAAAUUUGGAUUAAUACCUCAUAGUAUAGAACAAUCGCAUGAUUGAGCUAUUAAAGUCACAACGGCAAAAAGAUGAGCAUGCGUCCCAUUAGUUAGUUGGUAAGGUAACGGCUUACCAAGACUACGAUGGGUAGGGGUCCUGAGAGGGAGAUCCCCCCACACUGGUACUGAGACACGGACCAGACUCCUACGGGAGGCAGCAGUGGGGAAUUUUGGACAAUGGGCGCAAGCCUGAUCCAGCAAUGCCGCGUGCAGGAAGAAGGCCUUCGGGUUGUAAACUGCUUUUGUACGGAACGAAACGGCUCUGGUUAAUACCUGGGGCUAAUGACGGUACCGUAAGAAUAAGCACCGGCUAACUACGUG